rnacentral:rRNA from 1 species
CAAUAGCGUAUAUUAAAGUUGUUGCGGUUAAAAAGCUCGUAGUUGGAUUUCUGCUGAGAACGACCGGUCCGCCCUUUGGGUGUGUAUCUGGCUCUUUCUUGGCAUCUUCUUGGUGAACGUUGCUGCACUUGACUGUGUGGAGCGCUACCCAGGACUUUUACUUUGAGGAAAUUAGAGUGUUUCAAGCAGGCAUACGCCUUGAAUACAUUAGCAUGGAAUAAUAAGAUAGGACCUCGGUUCUAUUUUGUUGGUUUCUAGAGCUGAGGUAAUGAUUAAUAGGGAUAGUUGGGGGCAUUCGUAUUUAACUGUCAGAGGUGAAAUUAUUGGAUUUGUUAAAGACGGACUACUGCGAAAGCAUUUGCCAAGGAUGUUUUCAUUG